UUUGGCGGGCUCCUCCUCAAUCGCCUUCUGCACCGGUGAGAGGAAACGUGUGCAUAAAACAUUGCUGAAGUUGCUCUACAUUUUAUAUGUUGUGCACAGGAUUUUUACAGUUGUGAGUCAGCUGAUGCAUCUUCCAGCUGUAAACAUACGCAAUGGAGUGAAAUGAGAGCUGAAAAGCCUGCAAAUACCAUUUCAUCCAAAACCUUCCAUCCACACGGAAACGGAGUGCUAGGUGCCCAGAAACAGUAUUUUUUUUUAAAAUAGCUUCCAGAUGGAUGCAGAUGCAGCUGACUCCGUCUUCUGUGCCCGGAGAGGAAACAAAAUGCCAGCACUCGUCCGUUCAGCUUGGUACCACUGCUGAAGUCGGUAUGCUCAACGCACGUUUGAAGCACGGCGUAAACACUCACUCGUCACGGUCCAUGUGAGCUAUGUGCGCUCAUUGGACAGUUGGACUGGGGAAGUGCGGAGAAUGACAUGCAACCAACCACGGAGUCAGAAGUGGUUGCAGAGGGCAACGCGUGUCACCCGCACACAACGAAAGUUCCUCCUGCACGAAAAGUGCUACCUAGUGUCUCGAUUCAUGGGAGCUCAUGAGCAUGUUUAAGUGUAUCUAGUCUGUGAGAACUUCAUACUCAAGUUCAUAUAAUUAAAAUAAUCAUGGACAAUUGCAGACUUUUCAUCCAAAAAUAACCCGUAUGAGCCUAACUUGAGAUUUGUUAGGAACCAUAACCAUUGAAAUUCACAUCACCAAAUCCUAGUCUGGAGGAGGCACAAAUUUUGCUGGCUUUAUAUGACAUAU